GUGGAUGGGAGGUUUCCGGCCGUCGGAGCUCAUCAAGGUAUAUAAUCAAAUCUUACCCUUUCCAAUUAAGCAAAAAAAUAAGUUUCAAGUACUUAGCAAUUAGAAGAAGGAUGUCCUAACAUAUGUGACAAGAAAAUGACAUAAGCUAGCGGGCACUCGGUGGAAUAUUAGGUCAAGAUAAAUAACAAAGAAAGCAGUAAAUAUUGGAUUUGAAGUAAUAAUGAGUUUUGUCUUAGUAGUAAUACGUACUCACAUUUCAACAGGGGGCUGUAGAUAAUAUAAUAAAAGGCUUCUUUAAAUUUAACUAAGUUAUUAUUUAUCAUCCCGAUGUCCUGCAUGGGCAGUUUCUAAAUUAAAUUUUUUUCUACAAUUUUUCUAAGUUAGAAACCUUCCUAGUCCUCUUAGGAUAUAGAAAAAAGAAAGAUAGGGUGCAUAGAGCAUGAUGAGGGGAUACAAAUUAUCAAGAAAUUGUGCACGAGGCAUGUAGAACGUUAUAAUUGCAUGGCGCAACUUGUCGGUAGGAUUUCAAAGAAGAAAAGAUAAAUAGCAAGAAAACAAAACCCACAAAAAUGAUCAAAUAUCAAAGAAUGACGAGAGGUAGUAGUGAAGGUUUUUCUACUAAAAGGUAGAGUUAGGUGUCAAUCCAAUAAAGUUCAUGUCUGUUAAUACAAGUUAUGGUUAUAGAGUGCCACAGAAACGAGUUGGUUAGGAUAGAAUUGCACGGUUCUCUACUCACUCCCCUGUCUUCUCUUUCCCUUUACUCACAAUAGCUUUUGUUUUUAAAAUUUUCAUCUCUUCAUUUGGUGUGUAGUGAAUAAUGUUGCAAUGUUUUCCGCAACUUUCACCAAACCAUCACAAACAAAGAUAUUUUGGCAGAUAAAAGAACAGAAAGGAAAAAAGGAAAAAUGACUAAGACAAGAAGAAUAUGAUUCUUUUGUUUUUCCUUUUUUGGGUGCUUAAUUCAUGUAAUGUCGAUUUUGUUAAUUGGCUUUCCAGGUUAUACUGAACCAAAUCGAGCCCUUAACAGAGCAACAAAUAUUAGGUAUAUGUGGAUUACAGCAAUCAACACAAGAAGCCGAAGAAGCCUUGUCACAAGGACUUGAAGCUCUCAAUCAAUCUCUAUCUGAUACAAUAGCCUCUGAUUCAUUGAGCUGCCCUCCUAACAUGGCUAAUUACAUGGGCCAGAUGGCUGUAGCCAUGAACAAGCUUUCUACACUUGAAGGUUUUGUUAGACAGGUAUGAUAUUGUUAUUUUAUCUCUCUCUCGCUCUCUCCUCUUCCUAGCUAAAAGUUGACAUAAUUAUAACAUUUUCUGUUAAAUCAAUUUUCACCCACAGCUUAAAUACGUGAAUAUCUUAAUUUAAAUAACAUCUUUUUUUCUUAAAAAAUAAUAAUAAUAAUAAUUUAGGGUUUUAUGGGCCACAUGUAUGGAUACAGUGUGGGUCCCAAAGGACAGAAAUUCUGUUCUAUUUGGGAAAACCUACCCCAAACACAUGAACUACUCCAUGUCUCACCCUCAUGUGGUGGCUUUUAUGGUUACAUAGUAUAGACAAAUAUAUCAGCUACUACAGGAAAUGUUGGGGUAUUAUGCAUAUGAACCCAAAAAUACAAAAACAUUGUUGGGCUAUACAUAAUUUCUAAAAGCGACUCCUACAUGUAAGUUUUCAUCACACACAGUUGCAUAAUUUCAAACUAAUAAAACUAGGUGAUUAUCUCAAUUUCUUUUUUAUUUAGUCAGCUUAAUGUAUAUUUUACACAAAAAAAUAACUAGUCAACCACACCAAGUUACAGAAUGAAAGGACACUAGAUUGAAUUUUGAUUAGAGAGGCAUGCAGGGAAGACUGGGUCUUAUACAUGCCUUACGAGCUCAGACCAUAGUAAACCUGGUUAAGGGAAAGACAACACCAUGAUGGUUACCAGACCCCAACCAGUACACGACAAGCUAGUCCCCACAAACAUAAGUUUAUACAUAUCAACAUCUAAAGCACAACAUAUCUGAUCAUAAGCCCAUGUUUUUAUGAUGUCAGAGUCGUAACCGUUUGACUUAAAAAGGACAAAUUAAUGCAGUCCAUUCUCCAUAACUUCCUUUUUGACUAUUGAACACCAAAUCUAAGCAUUCAUAAACUUAGACUUCCCUUGAUGAUGAUUAUGAACAUGAGAGAAUUCACCAUUUUUACCGAGUUAACUCACCUCAUUUGUUAUGUAUAUGCUUGCCCUAGAGCUUGAAUGAAUUAAUUAGGUGGACCAUUAUUAUUAUUAUUUAAUUUUAUUCAACAGAAAUUGGUAGUUCAUAUACUUUUUUAUUCCUUAAGGUUGUUUAAUUUGACAACAAAAGUGUACAGAUCAGAAUUUAAUCAUUUUAGUUUUACUUUAAUUUUUGGUUAUAAGAUAUUUUCUAGACUAUGAUCCUAAGAUGUAUUAGGAUGAGGUGGGCCAAUUGUUGGAAUGCUGGGGCACCAGCCUUUGAAAAUUUAGACCUAGAAUAGAAAAAGUGAAGAGUUUAAUUGCAUUGCAUUGGUCUCUACUCUUGAACAAUUCCAACUAGAAAACUUUUAAUCAGGAAAAUCUAUCAAAAUUAAUCUGCUGAAAGUCAUGCCAAUGAUAGCAAUAGUAAUCACCUAUGUGUGCACAAGUAAUUGACCAUGAUUUUGUGUGGUCUAAAUACAUGAACAUCGAUCAUUAAUUACCAUCAAUAUCUGAUGAUAGUCAUCUAUAGAGAUUUAGAAGCAGAGAGGACUGGUUGAAAUCAAGGAAUUAGGUAUCCUUUAAGUUCCAAAGUAUUACUUUGUUUUCUUUCUUUCUUUAUUUUUCUUAUUCUAGUAUAUAUAUAUAUAUAUAUAUAUAUUUAUUUAUAAAUGUUUAUUAGUUUUGUUCCCUGUCAAACUUCUGGACAUAUCAGUGACAGUGAGAGGCUACUAGCUAGCCACAACUAUUCACUUACAUUUCAUUUUCAAGGGUUUUCUUUCUUUAGCCUAUUUGACAUUGAAACCACUCACCAUAUUAUCGUAAAGUCAUCGUAGAUAGCUAUUACAUGUUAAAUAUUCAAGAAUUGAACCUAAUUAUUCUUUAUAUUGCUCUUAGAAGUCAAUUAAUCAAGUUUGAUUUAAUAUAUUUUUUACAGGGUUAGUUUAACGGUAGAUAUAUAUUGUGAACAAGACAAAUAAUGAGCAGCAAAUGCGACAAAAAUAAAAUCUAGAUUUUUGUGAUAUAGUUGCAGUAAAGCAUAUUCCGUGAUUGAUAUAGAAACUGAACUUACAGGCAGAUAAUCUGAGGCACCAAACCCUUCAUAGGCUGCAUCAAGUAUUGACAACCCGGCAAGCUGCAAGGUGUUUUCUGGCCAUUGCCGAGUACUCUCAUCGUCUUAGAGCUCUGAGCUCUCUGUGGUUGGCUCGUCCACGGCAAGAAUAAUGGAAGAAACCCUAGCUAGAACAAUAUAUAUUAGCCACUUUCAUAUAUAAAUAUCUCUUCUUAUCAAUUAUAUAUUUUAAAAAAGAAAUACAUGUCUUUCAUCUGAUAGAAUUAAUUAUAUAUUCCUUUUGCUUACUUUCUGCAGAGAUCGAUGUAUAGACAGAACAAAAGGUAGAUUAAAUUUAAAAAAAAACAGUAGAACUUUCUUUCCCUUCAUUUUGGUCU
rnacentral:lncRNA from 1 species